AAAGCAGUUUCCUGGGGAAUGCUUGUCUUGAAAACAAGCUUUAUGUGUUCAAUUCACUUCGCUGCUUGC
rnacentral:tRNA from 1 species